AGCAGCCGCGGUAAUUCCAGCUCCAAUAGCGUAUAUUAAAGUUGUUGCAGUUAAAAAGCUCGUAGUUGAAUUUCGAGACCGGCUUACUGGUCGUGCUAUUGUACGUACUGGUAUAAUCGGUUUCUCCUUUCUGACGAACUAUAAUGCCAUUAAUUUGGUGUUAUAGGGAAUCAGGACUGUUACUUUGAAAAAAUUAGAGUGUUUAAAGCAGGCUCACGCUUGAAUACAUUAGCAUGGAAUAACGGAAUAGGACGUUUGAUUCUAUUUUGUUGGUUUCUAGGAUCGACGUAAUGAUUAAUAGGGAUAGUUGGGGGCAUUAGUAUUCAAUUGUCAGAGGUGAAAUUCUUGGAUUUAUUGAAGACUAACUACUGCGAAAGCAUUUGCCAAGGAUGUUUUCAUUAAUCAAGAACGAAAGUUAGGGGAUCGAAGACGAUCAGAUACCGUCGUAGUCUUAACCAUAAACUAUGCCGACUAGGGAUCGGAUGAUGUUAAUUUUUUAAUGACUCAUUCGGCGCCUUAC
rnacentral:rRNA from 1 species